UCAGUGCGGUUCCGCCUGAUUUUGAACAUGCUUAUUCCUCUGAUUCGCCUGAAACAUGCAUGUUGAAUAUGUGAAUUGUCAGAGCCGUCAUGAUAUUUCAUGAGACAAUCGAACAUAUAUAUAAAUGGAAGAGCACAUAGAGAAGAAAUCGAAAGAUAAUCGCUAGGUUACUUACCAAAGGGCUUACUUUGAAAGGAUUAUGUACUGAACAGUUUCCAAAAGAAAUGCAGAAUGAAAAUGUGAAUGUACAACAUAAAGGAGCAUAUACAGAGGAUUCAAUUAUGGGAAGGAGCAAUUAUGAAUCAAGACCUGUAAGUACGUCGGUAACACAGCCUUUAUUCUUUCAGUACUCUCUCAUUAUAAUUGUAAAACCGUUUUUAAUUUUUACAGGAGCAUAUACAGAGGAUUCAAUUAUGGGAAGGAGCAAUUAUGAAUCAAGACCUGUAAGUACGUCGGUAACACAGCCUUUAUUCUUUCAGUACUCUCUCAUUAUAAUUGUAAAACCGUUUUUAAUUU